rnacentral:ncRNA from 1 species
GAUGGACCCUAAAAAGUCCUUUAAACACAAAGGUUUGGUCCUGACCUUGAAGUCAGUUAUUACUUAAUAUACACAUGCAAGUAUCCGCCCCCCUGUGAAAACGCCCUUAAACCCCUCCUGGGACAAGGAGCUGGUAUCAGGCACGAAAAUCCGCCCAAGACACCUAGCUAUGCCACACCCACAAGGGAAAUCAGCAGUGAUUAACAUUGAGCAUUAGCGAAAGCUUGACUCAGUUAAAGUAAAAAGAGCCGGCUAAUCUGUGGCCAGCCGCCGCGGUUACACNACGUGGCUCNAAUUGACCUCUUCNGGCGUNAAGCGUGAUUAAAGUCAUUCCUACACUAGAGUUAAACUAGGACUAAGCUGUGACACGCCUGUCCACCAAGAAACUCANANNCGNNAGUCACUCUAAUUUAACCCACUUGAACUCNCGACAGUUAGGAAACAAACUGGGAUUAGAUACCCCACUAUGCCUAAUCGUAAACUUUUAUUUACACCCAUAUCGCCAGGGAACUNCGAGCCAAGCUUAAAACCCAAAGGACUUGACGGUACCCCACAUCCACCUAGAGGAGCCUGUCCUAUAAUCGAUAAUCCAACGUUUAACCUCACCAUUUCUUGUUAAUCAGCCUGUAUACCUCCGUCGUCAGCUUACCACGUGAGNGACUAUCAGUGAGCUUAAUGUUUCUACACCAGUACGUCAGGUCAAGGUGCAGCAUAUGAAAUGGGAAGAGAUGGGCUACACUUUCUAUUAUAGAAGAAACGAAAAACUAUUUAUGAAAAUCUAGUUAGAAGGCGGAUUUAGUAGUAAAAAGAAAUCAGCAUGUUCAUUUUAACCUGGCACUGGGGUGUGUACACACCGCCCGUCACCCUCUUCAAAGCUUCCAGCACAAUCUUUAAUCAACUAAAGCACAACAGAAGAGGCAAGUCGUAACAUGGUAAGUAUACCGG